rnacentral:lncRNA from 1 species
UACAAGCCUGCCUGUUAGGAUGUUGGUCUGUUAAGUUCCUAUGUGCUGAAGGUACAUCUUUACCCUCAGCGCUGACAGUCACCUCUGAUUCUGGAAUCUGUCCUGGUAGGUUUUGUUUCUCCUACAACUGGGGGUGCCUCAAAAAAUGUUAAGGACAAGAAUCUAUCGAUCUCUGUGCCUGGAGCUGAAGUCCAGACAUGAAAUUAAAGCACAGGCACCCGACGUCACCCCACUUUUACCUCCCUCAUGGGCCUGUGUGAGGAGGCAAUGCUUUGUGUAGAUGCAACAUCCAAUGCCUGUUUCUUUCCGUCUGGGGUAGAUCCACAACACUUAUGAAGAUGGUUUAGACACAUCGUAUAGGAUGUAAAUAAAAACCUGUAGGAAUACUAGAAACAUCAUUUAAACAGGACGCCUGACACAGGAGGGAAAAGCAUCCACAGGGAGAUUUACAGAGAUGAAAGGGGAGAAUGCAGAGGCAGGCACUGCUCCCCCAGAACUCCUGGCAGGUGCAAGAGGUUUGAAGAAUGGAUCAUGCGUGAGAAGAUGGUAGCGGUGCUGUGGAAUAAGCCAUAAUCAUCACAAAACUGGGAGACAUGGUUUGACUAAGGGAGAAGGAGGGAAACACAGAGCAAGCGGCAACAGAUUUAAUAUGAAAGUCGGAUCCCUAUCACUGGGGACAACUGACAGUGCUAAGAUGGACAGAUGGAUGAUGGAUGGAUAGACAGAGCUGUACACUGCCUGGACUCCAGGUCUCCGGGAUCUAUCCCACCAGGGGUCCAGACACUUCUGAAACUCCACACACCCUCAAUGCAGACAGAAAACCAGCAAAGGGUGGCCACAAACUGCUAUGGAAUGACAUCUAACACUAGGACAGGUCUUUCAGCUGUAGAGCACCACCACCACCAAACAGGUCUAAAGAAGACAGAAUCCAUCCUUUGGAGAAAGUAAAUCUGCUUGAAACUAUAGGCCCAAGGAGAAGAAUAUGCCAGCUUCUCAGACCUCAGAGAAAGGGAUCCACAAUUUAAUUCUGUUGAGCAGAAAUGCAGGGGUGGCCAUGAGUUUAAAUCGAUCCCAACUACUUGGAACCUAAAAACAUAAGGUCUUCCAAGCAUCUUAUCAGAAUCUAAUAUGUUCCGGCGGGUAAACAUCUCUUCCCCAGAAGCUCUUACUUGCAGUUUGGUCCCCUCCCUCUUUUUUUCUACCAUAAAUACAGUUGGAUUGUGCAAUCCACAGCCAAAGCGAGCAGUGUCUUGUCUUGCAGAAAUCCUUUAUCAUCUGUUUUGUGUACGCGCCGAGCAGUGAUCAGGUGAUCCCAGAAGUUCACAGCUAAGAAGAAACAAGCAUAAAAAAAAGGCAUAGUACAGCAUGAAUUCUUUUGCGUUGGUGUUGAUCUGGCUGUCUCAAUCUCAGGCCUCCUUGCAUCUUCCUCACCCCUGGUGGACUCGAUGGGGUGGAUUCUAGCUGCUUAGUCUAUCUUAAGGCCCUUAGGGGAAUAGGUACCCAUCUCUUUGGCUGUGCCUCCACCUACCUCCUUGAGUGGCUGAACAAUCUCUCUGAACCCAGGAAAGAAAUGUUCACAGUGUACUCAGAUGAGACAGCUGCACAUUCCAUAAUCAAGCUUAGCCCCUUCACCUGUUUGGUUUUCCUCUCUGCUUAUGAGCUGCUGCUUAUCAACUCUGGUACCCAAGAGGGUCUCAUCUGACUCAGCGAACUGGGUACUCUAUAUCACUUAAAAAACAAAACAAAACAAAACAAAACAACAAAAACAUUCUCUUGAACUUUUUUUUAUGGCUUCCAAGUUUUUGAGCCCUGGAAAGUCUCUUUAGUACAGAUCUUUUUCUCAUAUCCUGCUUUAACAAACAGAAAGACAGCAUCCCCCCCCCCCAGCUCAUCCUCUCUUACACAAUGCACUUUGCCACUGUGCAGUCACCUCAGCCUAAAACACAUGUUUUAUUUCUUUCCUACACACAGCAGUGGACACCACCACAACCUCUAUGGCAGCCUGUGGACACUCUCAUUCCUAAUAUGUUGCUCUUACAAACUGAAAAUUUUAUUUUAAAUCAUAAGUUUAUCAGAACACCUCUGUACCCACAUACCAGAAUGCAUUCACCAAACUGGCAUGCCACUCUGUGAAGAAGACAGCAUCACCAGGAUUUCCCAUACACCACUCACCCAGACUUCCCACUGGAUAAAUGCUGCCUGUGCUCUGGACCCUACCUGCCCUUGUGGGGUUAGAGGUGAGUUGGUACAGAGUUAAUGACAUAGACUCUGGGAGUAUAGUGAGAAAUGCUACAGCAAGCUCAUCUGAGCACUGCUGCAAGCUCCUUUAACACCCUCCACGCGUGCCCCGUUGGUUCCAAGAAAGCAUCUCUUCUAAACAGCAGUUCCCAAUUGACUGGCAUUGUCUGCACCAGCAAUUCUUGGUUUCUCAGGCAGUCUUCAAUUAGGUCCUCCUGUGGGAGCUGCUUUUGCAGCUGUGUGGCCAGGCAUUUACAUAGAGAUAGCCAACACUGUUCCUCCUACAGAUAAGGAGUCAGCAUCUUUUCCAUGCCUCAAGACCCACUGCAGGGGCCAUGCAACCACUGACAUAGGAACAAGGCAAGUCUCUUAUAUCACAUCACCAUUUCAGGAUUUUACCCUCCUGGUGCCUAACCCCCAGGUUCCUUAGAACAGGACAACAAGCAAGUCUUCUGUGACUAAGCUGUUGUGCCAACCCCCUACUCAUUUCUUGCCACUUAUUCCAAAGGCAUUCCAGAUUAUUAAUCUUUCUUCAAAGAUGCUGAGUAAUUGUGACCUUUCGAUUUUUCCUACUUCCGGUCCAUCUGCUUGAAAAGCUGCCCCAGCAGGCUGGGGAGCAGAACUGCAGAAGAAGCCUUACCUCUCUGGAGUAACCAAGAUGUCCCAAGCAACACUGAUGCCACAGCGUUGUGGCCCACAGAGCAGUGCACAAAGAAUCAUUAUAAGCUAAUCCUGAUGUGUCUUACCCGUGUGUGCCUGCGUUUUCCUCUACUGCUCCAUAGCAUGGACUUCACAUGCCCUAUGCAUAUCAUGCAUCUAAUCUUCAUAUCUGCACAAGCAAUUAUUGCAGACUUUCCAUAGGGGUUUUUGUCUUUUAAUGAUAAAAAUGGAUGGACACAAAAUUACUGAUUUGGAGAUGUUUAUUCAAAUAAUUACUGUGAAUAUAUAUUCUUAGAUUUCUUUCUUUUAUCACUAUAGCUACUACCUUUACAUUUUCCUCUAAAAUUUUUUCACAUAUGUUUUUUGGUUUACGGGGGUUGUUGUUGUUGUUGUUGCUGCUGCUGCUGUUGCUACUGCUGCUGCUGUUUUGGACAUGGUUUUGCUAUAUAAAUCAAGAGCAGCCUGAAAGUCAUGACCACCAUACCUAAUAUUAACCUUUUGUUACUCUAACUGUGCCAAACUACUGCAUUUUCACUAAACUUUUAAUAAAGUCCAUGAUGUAUGCAC